rnacentral:rRNA from 1 species
GAUGAACGCUGGCGGCGUGCCUAAUACAUGCAAGUCGAGCGAACAGAUGAGGAGCUUGCUCCUCUGGCGUUAGCGGCGGACGGGUGAGUAACACGUGGAUAACCUACCUAUAAGACUGGGAUAACUUCGGGAAACCGGAGCUAAUACCGGAUAAUAUAUUGAAUCGCAUGGUUCAAUAGUGAAAGACGGUUUUGCUGUCACUUCUAGUUGGAUCCGCGCCGCAUUAGCUAGUUGGUAAGGUAACGGCUUACCAAGGGACCGAUCCGUAGCCGACCUGAGAGGGUGAUCGGCCACACUGGAACUGGGACACGGUCAAGCCUCCUACGGGAGGCAGCAGAAGGGAAUCUUCCGCAAUGGGCGAAAGCCUGACGGAGCAAGGCCGCGUGAGUGAUGAAGGUCUUGGGAUCGUAAAACUCUGUUAUUAGGGAGGAACAAAUGUGUAAGUAACUAUGCACGUCGUGACGGUACCUAAUCAGAAAGCCACGGCUAACUACGUG